GUUAAGAUAGCAAAGCAGGGACUUGCAAAAGGCCUAAGCCCUUUCUACAGAGGUUCAAGUCCUCUUCUUAACU
rnacentral:tRNA from 1 species